GCAGCGCGGGGCAACCUGGCGGCGAGUGGCGAACGGGUGAGUAAUAUAUCGGAACGUGCCCUGGAGUGGGGGAUAACGCAGCGAAAGUUGCGCUAAUACCGCAUACGAUCUAAGGAUGAAAGCGGGGGAUUCGCAAGAACCUCGUGCUCCUGGAGCGGCCGAUAUCUGAUUAGCUAGUUGGUGGGGUAAAGGCCUACCAAGGCAUCGAUCAGUAGCUGGUCUGAGAGGACGACCAGCCACACUGGAACUGAGACACGGUCCAGACUCCUACGGGAGGCAGCAGUGGGGAAUUUUGGACAAUGGGCGAAAGCCUGAUCCAGCAAUGCCGCGUGAGUGAAGAAGGCCUUCGGGUUGUAAAGCUCUUUUGUCAGGGAAGAAACGGUGAAGGCUAAUAUCCUUUGCUAAUGACGGUACCUGAAGAAUAAGCACCGGCUAACUACGUGCCAGCAGCCGCGGUAAUACGUAGGGUGCAAGCGUUAAUCGGAAUUACUGGGCGUAAAGCGUGCGCAGGCGGUUUUGUAAGUCUGUCGUGAAAUCCCCGGGCUCAACCUGGGAAUUGCGAUGGAGACUGCAAGGCUAGAAUCUGGCAGAGGGGGGUAGAAUUCCACGUGUAGCAGUGAAAUGCGUAGAGAUGUGGAGGAACACCGAUGGCGAAGGCAGCCCCCUGGGUCAAGAUUGACGCUCAUGCACGAAAGCGUGGGGAGCAAACAGGAUUAGAUACCCUGGUAGUCCACGCCCUAAACGAUGUCUACUAGUUGUCGGGUUUUAAUUAACUUGGUAACGCAGCUAACGCGUGAAGUAGACCGCCUGGGGAGUACGGUCGCAAGAUUAAAACUCAAAGGAAUUGACGGGGACCCGCACAAGCGGUGGAUGAUGUGGAUUAAUUCGAUGCAACGCGAAAAANCUUACCUACCCUUGACAUGUACGGAAGCCACGAGAGAUCGAGGCGUGCUCNAAAGAGAGCCGUAACA
rnacentral:rRNA from 1 species